rnacentral:misc_RNA from 1 species
AGGUUACUUCUUCGACUAGUACGAGUAUGCCUUAUUUGAACGGUCGUGCAGUGGAAGUGUUGGACAAGGCGCCGGUGGUUGUGACGGAGCGGCAAACGGGCGCUUCGAUGAUGGAGCAGUUGGUGCCGGAGAUUACUACGCACGCUCUUAGUUACUUGGAUUAUCCCAGCCUAUGCCGUUUGUCCAUGACUAAUUCGUUGAUGCGCAAAGCCGCGAAUGAUGAUAAUGCCUGGAAGGCGCUUUAUCAUAAGGACUUCACACUGGAACAGGAUACCGUAACUCCAAUUAACGGGUGGAAGGCUUAUUAUGCUGCAACAAGAACAAUUAU